GAUGAACGCUGGCGGCGUGCCUAAUACAUGCAAGUCGAGCGAACAGACGAGGAGCUUGCUCCUCUGACGUUAGCGGCGGACGGGUGAGUAACACGUGGAUAACCUACCUAUAAGACUGGGAUAACUUCGGGAAACCGGAGCUAAUGCCGGAUAAUAUAUUGAACCGCAUGGUUCAAUAGUGAAAGACGGUUUUGCUGUCACUUAUAGAUGGAUCCGCGCCGCAUUAGCUAGUUGGUAAGGUAACGGCUUACCAAGGCAACGAUGCGUAGCCGACCUGAGAGGGUGAUCGGCCACACUGGAACUGAGACACGGUCCAGACUCCUACUGGAGGCAGCAGUAGGGAAUCUUCCGCAAUGGGCGAAAGCCUGACGGAGCAACGCCGCGUGAGUGAUGAAGGUCUUCGGAUCGUAAAACUCUGUUAUUAGGGAAGAACAAAUGUGUAAGUAACUAUGCACGUCUUGACGGUACCUAAUCAGAAAGCCACGGCUAACUACGUG
rnacentral:rRNA from 1 species